AAAAAAAAAAAAAAAGGGGGGGGGACCCAACCACCAAUAACACUUGGCUGUGUCAGGUCACAAACAGACUAGGGGAGCUUGGUUUGGAGGUGCCUGUUGUGGUCCCCCGGUGGAAAAACUCAAUGUAGCCCAGAAGUAUAACGAUGGGGGUUGGGUGUCACUGAAGGUGGUGGAGGGGAAUCGUGUUAUUGAAUCGAGGGGAAACAUCUGUGUCUGGGGGGCCUGUUGGUUGCGCUCACUGGCAGUUCUGGGUCAGCCCUCUGACCCAGAGUUUAGAGCAGAUGUGCAAUAAAAAUAAAAUUAAAUGUAUUCUUAUUGUCAUAUUGCUAUUGUCACUACUGUUGUAGAUUGCUAUAGCCUAUAUUACUAUUAUUGUCAUGAAUAUUAUCAUUAUAAAUACUAUCAUUGAUACUGCCACCACUAACACUAAUACGGAUACAUGUAUAUAUGUAUAUAUAUAUAUAUAUGUGUGUAUAUAUGUAUGUAUAUAUAUAUAUAUAUAUAUAUAUAUAUGUAUAUGUUUCUUUGUGUUUGUCAAAGUCUCUAUCAUAUCCUCUACAACUAUUCAGAUACUACCGAAUUGCAUCACAGAAAGGAUCUCGUGUGCCUACAUAUACCACUUUGUCGAUAACUGUGUGGGGCUGUUGUGAGUUUUUCUGUUCUCUGUUGUUUUUGUUUUUUUUUUGUUGUUGUUUUUUUUUGUUUUUUUGUUUCCCCUUUCCUACUUCUGUAUUGUAGAUGUGUCUCACUGAAUCUUACCUGGUAUGUGUUACUGUUUUGUUAACCUGCAAUAAAAAAAAAAAAAAAAAAAAAAAAAAAAAA